UCUCGAGUACCUAGCUGCUGAAGUAACCUUUUAUCUCCUUUCUCUCCUUUUUGGAUUUUAUAUUAGUGUGUGCUUUUUCUGAUCUUCGAUUUCUGCAUAUUAAGCCUUAUGCCGUUAAUGUGUUGAAUAUGAGCUUGGAUUUUUUUUUUUUUGACUAUGAGCUGUGCCGAAUUUGAAGUGUGAACUAAUUUUGGUCCUCAAUGUCUGUUUGGCUGUUGAGAAAAUGAUGCAAAAGUUGUCUUGCAUGAAUUAUAGUUUCUCGAGCUAUCACAACUAGCAAAGGUAGCUUCAAGAUUUCUCUUAUUAUGUCCAAAUUUUGCCUAUACAGUUGAAUUAGGGUUUGUAGGGAGAAAAAGAUUGUGACUUGUGAGUUUGUUAAAUCUGAUUGUGCUUUUUCUAGCUAGUUAAAUGACCAGUUACUAUUCAUUCGAAUUCUCAAAUUCUUCUGGUUUUUUGUGAAUCAAAUUGAAAAUCUAUUCUCUAUGUUUUGAUAGCUAUUGUUUUGGACAUUCAGGUGCUGGAAUUGGCUGG
rnacentral:misc_RNA from 1 species